ACGGAAGGCAGCAGUGGGGAAUAUUGGACAAUGGGGGAAACCCUGAUCCAGCGACGCCGCGUGAGUGAAGAAGUAUUUCGGUAUGUAAAGCUCUAUCAGCAAGGAAGAAAAUGACGGUACUUGACUAAGAAGCUCCGGCUAAAUACGUGCCAGCAGCCGCGGUAAUACGCAUGGAGCAAGCGUUAUCCGGAUUUACUGGGUGUAAAGGGAGCGUAGACGGCAAAGCAAGUCUGAAGUGAAAUCCCGGGGCUCAACCCCGGAACUGCUUUGGAAACUGUUUAGCUAGAGUGCAGGAGAGGUAAGCGGAAUUCCUAGUGUAGCGGUGAAAUGCGUAGAUAUUAGGAGGAACACCAGUGGCGAAGGCGGCUUACUGGACUGUAACUGACGUUGAGGCUCGAAAGCGUGGGGAGCAAACAGGAUUAGAUACCCUGGUA
rnacentral:rRNA from 1 species